rnacentral:rRNA from 1 species
AUACGUAGGGGGCGAGCGUUGUCCGGAAUUACUGGGCGUAAAGAGCUCGUAGGUGGUUUGUCGCGUCGUCUGUGAAGUUCCGGGGCUUAACUCCGGGCGUGCAGGCGAUACGGGCAUAACUUGAGUACUGUAGGGGAGACUGGAAUUCCUAGUGUAGCGGUGAAAUGCGCAGAUAUCAGGAGGAACACCGGUGGCGAAGGCGGGUCUCUGGGCAGUAACUGACGCUGAGGAGCGAAAGCAUGGGUAGCGAACAGGAUUAGAUACCCUGGUAGUCCAUGCCGUAAACGGUGGGCGCUAGGUGUAGGGGUCUUCCACGACUUCUGUGCCGUAGCUAACGCAUUAAGCGCCCCGCCUGGGGAGUACGGCCGCAAGGCUAAAACUCAAAUGAAUUGGCGGGG